GGGGUUUUAGUUAAUCGAUAACGUUAGAUUGUCAUUUUAAAAUAAUUACUUAGUAAUAAACCCCG
rnacentral:tRNA from 1 species